UACGUAGGGUGCGAGCGUUGUCCGGAAUUAUUGGGCGUAAAGAGCUUGUAGGCGGUUUGUCGCGUCUGCUGUGAAAAUCCGGGGCUCAACCCCGGACUUGCAGUGGGUACGGGCAGACUAGAGUGUGGUAGGGGAGACUGGAAUUCCUGGUGUAGCGGUGAAAUGCGCAGAUAUCAGGAGGAACACCGAUGGCGAAGGCAGGUCUCUGGGCAGUAACUGACGCUGAGGAGCGAAAGCAUGGGUAGCGAACAGGAUUAGAUACCCA
rnacentral:rRNA from 1 species